CAUGCAAGUCGAGGGGCAGCGGGAUUGAAGCUUGCUUCAAUUGCCGGCGACCGGCGCACGGGUGAGUAACGCGUAUCCAACCUUCCGUACACUCAGGGAUAGCCUUUCGAAAGAAAGAUUAAUACCUGAUGGUAUCUUAAGCACACAUGUAAUUAAGAUUAAAGAUUCAUCGGUGUACGAUGGGGAUGCGUUCCAUUAGGUAGUAGGCGGGGUAACGGCCCACCUAGCCUACGAUGGAUAGGGGUUCUGAGAGGAAGGUCCCCCACAUUGGAACUGAGACACGGUCCAAACUCCUACGGGAGGCAGCAGUGAGGAAUAUUGGUCAAUGGACGAGAGUCUGAACCAGCCAAGUAGCGUGAAGGAUGAAGGUCCUACGGAUUGUAAACUUCUUUUAUAAGGGAAUAAACCCUCCCACGUGUGGGAGCUUGUAUGUACCUUAUGAAUAAGCAUCGGCUAACUCCGUGCCAGCAGCCGCGGUAAUACGGAGGAUGCGAGCGUUAUCCGGAUUUAUUGGGUUUAAAGGGAGCGCAGACGGGUCGUUAAGUCAGCUGUGAAAGUUUGGGGCUCAACCUUAAAAUUGCAGUUGAUACUGGCGUCCUUGAGUGCGGUUGAGGUGUGCGGAAUUCGUGGUGUAGCGGUGAAAUGUUUAGAUAUCACGAAGAACUCCGAUUGCGAAGGCAGCACACUAAGCCGUAACUGACGUUCAUGCUCGAAAGUGUGGGUAUCAAACAGGAUUAGCUACCCUGGUAGUCCACACGGUAAACGAUGGAUACUCGCUGUUGGCGAUAUACUGUCAGCGGCUUAGCGAAAGCGUUAAGUAUCCCACCUGGGGAGUACGCCGGCAACGGUGAAACUCAAA
rnacentral:rRNA from 1 species